UACGUAGGUGGCAAGCGUUGUCCGGAUUUAUUGGGUUUAAAGGGUGCGUAGGCGGCCUUAUAAGUCAGUGCUGAAAUAUCCCGGCUUAACCGGGAGGGUGGCAUUGAUACUGUAGGGCUUGAGUCGAGUUGAGGUUGGCGGAAUUGACGGUGUAGCGGUGAAAUGCUUAGAUAUCGUCAAGAACACCGAUAGUGAAGACAGCUAACUAAGCUCAAACUGACGCUGAGGCACGAAAGUGUGGGGAUCAAACAGG
rnacentral:rRNA from 1 species